UUUCCGUAGGUGAACCUGCGGAAGGAUCAUUAUUGGAUUUUGAAACUUCAGGCUGCUGCUGUCUCUCCUCGGAGGGCAUGUGCACGCUUGUUGUCCAUUAUUUCUACCACUGUGCACGAAUUGUAGACCUUUCAGUAGUCCUAUGUUGUUUUUACACAAUCUCUGAAUGUAAUAGAAUGGUUUUGAAACUUGGGAAAUACAAUACAACUUUCAGCAACGGAUAUUUUGGCUCUCGUAUCGAUGAGGAACGCAG
rnacentral:misc_RNA from 1 species